rnacentral:rRNA from 1 species
UACGUAGGUGGCAAGCGUUGUCCGGAUUUAUUGGGCGUAAAGAGCGUGUAGGCGGCCAGGUAGGUCCGUUGUGAAAACUCGAGGCUCAACCUCGAGACGUCGGCGGAAACCCUCUGGCUAGAGUCCGGAAGAGGAGAGUGGAAUUCCCGGUGUAGCAGUGAAAUGCGUAGAGAUCGGGAGGAACACCAGUGGCGAAGGGCGGCUACCCUGGAACCAGCACUGACACUGAGGCACGAAAGCGUGGGAGCAAACAGG